GACGGGGCCCGCACAAGCGGUGGAGUAUGUGGUUUAAUUCGAUGCAACGCGAAGAACCUUACCUGGUCUUGACAUCCCGGAGACCCUUAGGAAACUAGGGGGUGCUUCCAUCUGGAAGAAUCUGGAGACAGGUGCUGCAUGGCUGUCGUCAGCUCGUGUCGUGAGAUGUUGGGUUAAGUCCCGCAACGAGCGCAACCCUUGCCUUUAGUUGCCAGCAGUUCGGCUGGGCACUCUAAAGGGACUGCCGGUGUUAAACCGGAGGAAGGUGGGGAUGACGUCAAGUCCUCAUGGCCUUUAUGACCAGGGCUACACACGUACUACAAUGGCCGAUACAAAGGGCAGCGACACUGCGAGGUGAAGCCAAUCCCGUAAAAUCGGUCUCAGUCCGGAUUGGAGUCUGCAACUCGACUCCAUGAAGUUGGAAUCGCUAGUAAUCGUGGAUCAGCAUGCCACGGUGAAUGCGUUCCCGGGCCUU
rnacentral:rRNA from 1 species